GCCUAGUUAGCUUAGUUGGUAGUGCGUCUGCCUUGUAAGCGCUAGGCCGCGGGUUCGAUUCCCGCCUGGGGUC
rnacentral:tRNA from 1 species